GAUGAACGCUGGCGGCGUGCUUAACACAUGCAAGUCGAACGGAAUCCCAGGGAUCCUUGCACUCUUUGGUUAGCGUGGCGCACGUGUGAGUCACACGUAAGUCACCUGUCUUUUUCUUGGGGAUCAGCGUUCGACAGGGUGUUUAAUACCUUAUGUUCUGUCUGCCUCGCAUGGGGAGGUUGGGGACGGCUUUGGCCGGACUUGGGUGUGCUUGCGGUCUAUCUGCUUGUUGGGGGGGUGAUGGCUUACCCGGGCUUUGACGGGUAGCGGGGGUGUGAGGGUGGUCGAACACAUAGGGACUGAGAUACGGUCCAGGCGGCUGCAGUAGGCAGCAGUGGGGGAUAUUGCACAAUGGGCGAAAGCAUGAUGCAGCGACGGAGCGUGGGCGAUGAAGCCUUUCGGGUUGUAAACAUCUAUUGCUAUGUACGUGGCUUGCCAGUGAGUGUGUUGAGUGUAGGGGUUGAUUAGCGCCGGCUAACUACGUG
rnacentral:rRNA from 1 species